AACGAACGCUAUCGGUAUGCUUAACACAUGCGAGUCGGACGGACUAAUUAGGGCUUGCUCCACUUAGUUAGUGGCAGACGGGUGAGUAACACAUGGGAAUCUGCCCAUCAGUACGGAAUAACUUUUAGAAAUAAAAGCUAAUACCGUAUAUUCUCUACAGAGGAAAGAUUUAUCGCUGAUGGAUGAGCCCGCGUCAGAUUAGGUAGUUGGUGAGGUAACGGCUCACCAAGCUGACGAUCUGUAGCUGGUCUGAGAGGAUGAUCAGCCACACUGGGACUGAGACACGGCCCAGACUCCUACGGGAGGCAGCAGUGGGGAAUAUUGGACAAUGGGCGAAAGCCUGAUCCAGCAAUACCGAGUGAGUGAUAAAGGCCCUAGGGUUGUAAAGCUCUUUUAGCAAGGAAGAUAAUGACGUUACUUGCAGAAAAAGCCCCGGCUAACUCCGUG
rnacentral:rRNA from 1 species